rnacentral:rRNA from 1 species
CAGCAGCCGCGGGAAUACGGAGGGAGCUAGCGUUAUUCGGAAUUACUGGGCGUAAAGCGCACGUAGGCGGCUUUGUAAGUUAGAGGUGAAAGCCUGGAGCUCAACUCCAGAAUUGCCUUUAAGACUGCAUCGCUUGAAUCCAGGAGAGGUGAGUGGAAUUCCGAGUGUAGAGGUGAAAUUCGUAGAUAUUCGGAAGAACACCAGUGGCGAAGGCGGCUCACUGGACUGGUAUUGACGCUGAGGUGCGAAAGCGUGGGGAGCAAACAGGAUUAGAUACCCCAGUAGUCCCUGUCUCUUAUAC